UUGUUCUCAGUGACCCAGAAUUAGUAAAGUUUGACUACAUUUAUUUCAGAAGCAUUUUGGCUGUAGAGCAGUGAUUAGUGAGCUUUGUUGCCAGAUUUCCAUUUUGGAGUUGUAGAAAAACUUUUCAGAUAAAAAUGAGAUAUUUCAAACUGGGAAAGUUCAAACAUUUAUGCACUUGAAUAUUUAUAAAACAUUAUAAGAUCUGCUUGACCUUUGCUUAUAUUUACAUGCUUAUCUUAGCAGGACUCUGCGAGUAUGUAUGACUGUAUCCAGGAGGAGCCACUGGCCCACCUGCAUGCUGGACAGUGAUAAAGUGCUGGGCCCAUACAAAAGUCUGAGUCACGAUCCUGACUCCAAUGAAAUCCAUGGGAGUUUUUCUAUUGACUUCAGUGGGGUCAGGAUUUUGGCCUCAGGAAGGAUAAAGUGGGCUUAAACUCAUUUUAAGAUUGCUGUAGAAUAAAUGCAGGAUGCUCUUUUUUCAAUCUUGACUGUAUUAUACUCAAUGGACCAGAUUUAGAUCACCUGCUGUUUGGCCCCCAGCAUAGGCCAAGAGAAAGGGGACCACAACAGCCAUCUCUGUAGCUCUUAGGUUUUCAGACUGCUGAACACCAAUCCAGUACCAUUGAGCAAUUUCGAGCAUAAAGGCAAUCCACUCAAAUCAUUAGUGUGCGUAUGGCGAUCACACAGCAAGAUUGUAUAAUCAUCCCUGAGGUUUUAAAAUGGGUCCUUCCAUAUCCUUUUGAAUAAUGCCCAUUUAUCUGUUUGAAAUUACAUCAAUGUUAAUGGACAGCUAUAUUGCUAAGCAGCUGGCGGAGCAAUUUGUGGGGACGACUGGAGGAGCAGCGAGCGGCAUGGAGCCUUGCGGGGCCAGUUGGAGCGGCCCAAGGAACGGCGAGCGGAGCUGUUUGCGGGGAUGGCUGGAGCGGCUCACAGGUCAGUGAGCGGA